UUCACAAAUGAUUAGCUGUGACCUUUUUACCGUCAACGUAUGCAGAGGACCCUUUGAAGCCUGCUUUCUUCCCCUCCUUCCUCGCCUGUUCAACCAACGGCCACAGCUUGUUUCUGAUGUCCUUAGUCUCCUGAGUCAGAUCUUUACAUAGCUUUAUUUUCUUUUCCUUGAGUAUGGCUGCUGAUCUAGCAUCCCUCCAGAUUUUGUCCCUAUGCGAUCUUGACAGGAACUGCACAAUGAUGCGACGGCUGGAGUUCACCUGAGCAGAGCGGGGACCCAGUCUGUGCACAAUGUCCACGGAGUAGGCCAGAUGAUGAGCGAUGUCAGGGGAAACCUUGCUAAACAGGACAUUUCUUCAUAACAAAAUGCCUGCAGGAGUGGAAGCAGUGGUCACUUCCACUGCCCUUUCUGCCUCAAGACCACAAUAAAAAGGCAGGAUACACUGAGGCAUUUGCAGAUCUGUAGGCCACCUCUCCAUGACGCCCAGUUGGACUGCAGAGAGAUGGGCAUCACUUCCCAGACAGAGGAGUGCAAAGCAGGAUCUGUGAACCUUCCUCAGCUCAGCACUGACAAACUGCCUGUAUCGUGAAAUACAAGGACAAAGAGACCCAGCAGAGAGACCCCAAGAUCCACCGCCAGAAUCCUUCUUGCCCAUCACUCCUAUCCUGGACAACCCUCCCUGCAGAGUGAGCUGUGCAAAGUUGCCAAAUGUACUUUGUCCUCACUGCUAUGUGAAGUUCCAAAGAAAAAAUAUCAAGAAGCACAUUUACAGACAACACACCGAUAAAGCUGUCAGAGAUAUCACAGCAAAUUCCCCUGCUGUAUGCAUUGAUGAGAAGAAUGGGAUAUAUGCUGUGAAAAAGUUGUUUCUUGGACCUUUUGUGCCUCUUCAUGUCCAAAAGAAAAACCUGGGGGAAAGAGCACAAAAUCAAGUGUGAGUCCAGGGAGUGCCAACAGGCCAGUGACUUUGCUCUCAGGAGUGGCUUGAAGACAUUUGAAUGCCACCAUGUCUGCUCUCUUGACCAAUGUUCAGCUAAUGCCACUGAUACUGUACUGAGUGAAGAAAUUCUGACUGAUAUGGCGGAAAACAAGUGGUUUGGAGAAAAACAGGAAACAGCAGUGUCUCCAGCUCCAGUCACAGGCAGCUGAUGCCAGUGUGCCAGUCUCCUGCCUUGAAAUCAGAGCUGAAACGGUACAUAUCAGUCUAUGGACCGAAUGUAAGCUUUUACAGCCGACUGGGAUGAGUCGGCUGUAAUGGGAGGCAAAGAGGCCCAGGACAAUCCCUCCUGAACAGUCAGUUAGUGUGAAUGAAGUAAACGUGAUGCCUUGUAUACAUACCUACUGUCAAAAUACUACAAACUGUCUACAAAAGGAAUUCUCAAAAUAAGGGUUAAAUGUGUUCAUUCAGGAACCUGUUGACCUGACCAAGGAAAUGGGGAUCAGGGAGAUUACAAGAUCUUGUCUCGAAGACAUGCUAGAGGUGGUCCUCCAGGAUGGUGAUAAGGCACUGAUGACCUUGGCCCUAGUCUGUUCCUCCUUCAGAGACAUACUGUAGUCACGGACGAAAACUUCCGGGAAAGAGCUCACUUUCUGUGGUUUGACACUAUGUAAAAACGUGUGACUAAUUGGAGCAGGUUCUCCUCCAAAUACAAAAAAGAAUUCCGGACAAUGAGUGCUGAACUGCUUUCAGUGCUAUUGUCCAUACAAGAGCUGCAUGCUGGGUUACUUUGGAAGAGGAAGGCAGGGUGAGCUGCGGGGUAUAUAUUCUGAAGAUCCCCACCCAGGAUUCUGCAGCAAUUUCUGGCAAAUAACAGCAGGAUUUCCUGAGGAGGGAUAACAAGGAU